GACCGCUCCGGUGGCCAAGUGGUUAAAGCGUCCGCCUAGGAUGCGGAAGGUCGUGGGUUCGAUCCCCCGUCAAGUCA